GCUCAGGAUGAACGCUGGCGGCGUGCCUAAUACAUGCAAGUCGAGCGAACUGAUUAGAAGCUUGCUUCUAUGACGUUAGCGGCGGACGGGUGAGUAACNNGUGGGCAACCUGCCUGUAAGACUGGGAUAACUUCGGGAAACCGGAGCUAAUACCGGAUAGGAUCUUCUCCUUCAUGGGAGAUGAUUGAAAGAUGGUUUCGGCUAUCACUUACAGAUGGGCCCGCGGUGCAUUAGCUAGUUGGUGAGGUAACGGCUCACCAAGGCAACGAUGCAUAGCCGACCUGAGAGGGUGAUCGGCCACACUGGGACUGAGACACGGCCCAGACUCCUACGGGAGGCAGCAGUAGGGAAUCUUCCGCAAUGGACGAAAGUCUGACGGAGCAACGCCGCGUGAGUGAUGAAGGCUUUCGGGUCGUAAAACUCUGUUGUUAGGGAAGAACAAGUACAAGAGUAACUGCUUGUACCUUGACGGUACCUAACCAGAAAGCCACGGCUAACUACGUGCCAGCAGCCGCGGUAAUAC
rnacentral:rRNA from 1 species